UGGGGAAUAUUGGGCAAUGGGCGAAAGCCUGACCCAGCGACGCCGCGUGGGUGAUGAAGGCCUUCGGGUUGUAAAACCCUUUCGUGCGGAAAGAAUAGUCUCGUAGCGAAUAACUACGGGAUUUGACGGUACCGCAGGAAGAAGCACCGGCUAACUCCGUGCCAGCAGCCGCGGUAAUACGGAGGGUGCAAGCGUUGUUCGGAAUUAUUGGGCGUAAAGGGCGCGUAGGUGGUUGUGAUAGUCAGAUGUGAAAUCCUUCGGCUCAACCGAAGAACUGCAUCUGAAACUUCAUAGCCCGAGUACAGGAGAGGGAAACGGAAUUCCCGGUGUAGAGGUGAAAUUCGUAGAUAUCGGGAGGAACACCAGUGGCGAAGGCGGUUUCCUGGCCUGAUACUGACGCUGAGGCGCGAAAGCGUGGGGAGCAAACA
rnacentral:rRNA from 1 species